AUAAAAUAGUGGCCGAUUUAAGGUGUUAGUCUCUUAAAUUAAUUAUGAAAAUAAAU
rnacentral:tRNA from 1 species